rnacentral:rRNA from 1 species
AGAGUUUGAUCCUGGCUCAGGACGAACGCUGGCGGCGUGCUUAACACAUGCAAGUCGAACGGAAAGGCCUCUUCGGAGGUACUCGAGUGGCGAACGGGUGAGUAACACGUGGGUAAUCUGCCCUGCACUUCGGGAUAAGCCUGGGAAACUGGGUCUAAUACCGGAUAGGACCUUUUGGCGCAUGCCUUUUGGUGGAAAGCUUUUGCGGUGUGGGAUGGGCCCGCGGCCUAUCAGCUUGUUGGUGGGGUGACGGCCUACCAAGGCGACGACGGGUAGCCGGCCUGAGAGGGUGUCCGGCCACACUGGGACUGAGAUACGGCCCAGACUCCUACGGGAGGCAGCAGUGGGGAAUAUUGCACAAUGGGCGCAAGCCUGAUGCAGCGACGCCGCGUGAGGGAUGACGGCCUUCGGGUUGUAAACCUCUUUCAGCACAGACGAAGCGCAAGUGACGGUAUGUGCAGAAGAAGGACCGGCCAACUACGUGCCAGCAGCCGCGGUAAUACGUAGGGUCCGAGCGUUGUCCGGAAUUACUGGGCGUAAAGAGCUCGUAGGUGGUUUGUCGCGUUGUUCGUGAAAACUCACAGCUUAACUGUGGGCGUGCGGGCGAUACGGGCAGACUUGAGUACUGCAGGGGAGACUGGAAUUCCUGGUGUAGCGGUGGAAUGCGCAGAUAUCAGGAGGAACACCGGUGGCGAAGGCGGGUCUCUGGGCAGUAACUGACGCUGAGGAGCGAAAGCGUGGGGAGCGAACAGGAUUAGAUACCCUGGUAGUCC